rnacentral:rRNA from 1 species
GGUGAAUGCUAGCGGUGCGCCUAACACAUGCAAGUCGAGCGUGAAAUUUUUUAGCUUGCUAAAAAAUGGAAAGCGGCGAACGGGUGAGUAAUGAAUUACUAUUUGCCCUCAAGUCAGGAAUACCUUAGAGAAAUCUAAGUUAAUGCCGGAUAGUUCCUACGGGACAAAGAUUUAUCGCUUGAGGAGAAGGUUUUUCUCUAUCAGCUAGUUGGUAAGGUAAAGGCUUACCAAGGCUAUGACGGAUAGUUGGUCUGAGAGGAUGAUCAACCACAAUGGAACUGAGACACGGUCCAU